rnacentral:rRNA from 1 species
AGAGUUUGAUCCUGGCUCAGGACGAACGCUGGCGGCGUGCCUAACACAUGCAAGUCGAACGGGGUAAUUCCUUCGGGGAUUACUUAGUGGCGAACGGGUGAGUAACGCGUGAAGAACCUGCCUUUCAGUGGGGGACAACAGUUGGAAACGACUGCUAAUACCGCAUAAUGAAUUGAGAUCGCAUGAUUUUGAUUCCAAAGAUUUAUUGCUGAAAGAUGGCUUCGCGUCUGAUUAGCUAGUUGGCGGGGUAACGGCCCACCAAGGCGACGAUCAGUAGCCGGUCUGAGAGGAUGAACGGCCACAUUGGGACUGAGAUACGGCCCAGACUCCUACGGGAGGCAGCAGUGGGGAAUAUUGGGCAAUGGGGGAAACCCUGACCCAGCAACGCCGCGUGAAGGAAGAAGGCCUUCGGGUUGUAAACUUCUUUUAAGGGGGAAGAGCAGAAGACGGUACCCCUAGAAUAAGCCACGGCUAACUACGUGCCAGCAGCCGCGGUAAUACGUAGGUGGCAAGCGUUGUCCGGAUUUACUGGGUGUAAAGGGCGUGUAGCCGGGGGAGCAAGUCAGAUGUGAAAUCUAUGGGCUUAACCCAUAAACUGCAUUUGAAACUGUUCUUCUUGAGUGCUGGAGGGGCAAUCGGAAUUCCUUGUGUAGCGGUGAAAUGCGUAGAUAUAAGGAGGAACACCAGUGGCGAAGGCGGAUUGCUGGACAGUAACUGACGGUGAGGCGCGAAAGUGUGGGGAGCAAACAGGAUUAGAUACCCUGGUAGUCCACACUGUAAACGAUGAAUACUAGGUGUGCGGGGACUGACCCCCUGCGUGCCGCAGUAAACACAAUAAGUAUUCCACCUGGGGAGUACGAUCGCAAGGUUGAAACUCAAAGGAAUUGACGG